GGGGAUAACAGUUGGAAACGACCGCUAAUACCGCAUAAGCCAACAGGGGCGCAUGCUCUGGUUGGAAAAGAUUAAUCGGUGUGAGAUGGACCCGCGUCUGAUUAGCCAGUUGGCAGGGUAACGGCCUACCAAAGCGACGAUCAGUAGCCGGCCUGAGAGGGUGAACGGCCACAUUGGGACUGAGACACGGCCCAAACUCCUACGGGAGGCAGCAGUGGGGAAUAUUGCACAAUGGGGGAAACCCUGAUGCAGCGACGCCGCGUGAGUGAAGAAGUAUUUCGGUAUGUAAAGCUCUAUCAGCAGGGAAGAAAAUGACGGUACCUGACUAAGAAGCCCCGGCUAACUACGUGCCAGCAGCCGCGGUAAUACGUAGGGGGCAAGCGUUAUCCGGAUUUACUGGGUGUAAAGGGAGCGUAGACGGUGAUGCAAGUCAGAAGUGAAAGCCCGGGGCUCAACUCCGGGACUGCUUUUGAAACUGUGUAACUGGAGUGCAGGAGAGGUAAGCGGAAUUCCUAGUGUAGCGGUGAAAUGCGUAGAUAUUAGGAGGAACACCAGUGGCGAAGGCGGCUUACUGGACUGUAACUGACGUUGAGGCUCGGAAGCGUGGGGAGCAAACAGGAUUAGAUACCCUGGUAGUCCACGCCGUAAACGAUGAA
rnacentral:rRNA from 1 species